CCAUCGACGCUGGCCAGCGCCAGACCAGACUAGCUUGACCUGCCGCACCCUCCCCGCCUCACCCUGUUGUCACUCGCCACCAGACCCGCCUGAAAAUGAGCUCGGAAUCGCCGGUUUUGAAAGAAAAUUCCCGGCCGUCGCUCUCCCUCCAAAUCUGAUGAGUGAGAACAUUGACGUGGCCUUACUUUUUCUACGAGAGCGGCACAAUAGCUCUGGUAAGUGGGUGGAUUCUGAUUGGAUGAUACUGUACACCACUUUUCAGAAAUGUGAUGCCUUAGAUUACAUGCAAAUGAAAGUGUAUAUGGGAAACGAGGACAAAAAGCACAACAAGGGUCUACUGGGAAUGGUCAAGGGCGAAAGGGCCGAAGUUGGCUAAAUCUUGGUCAUCUGUGAAUCACGUUUUUAUGCCCUUCAACCUACAAAGGCAGAAGCACUGGA